rnacentral:lncRNA from 12 species
GCGCCUCCAGCCGAGGGAACCCCGCGGGCUCGACGUGCGCAGCCCAGCGGCCCCCUCCUGAGUUCCCGCCCGGGCGCCGCGCACCUGCCCGGGCGCGCGCCAGAGGGAGCCCCUGGCCGCCCGGCGCCGGGGGAGCGGCGGCCCGCGCCGCCUUGCGUUGGUGAGAAAGUUCCAUCUAGAGGCGGCCGCGCGCCACUGCAGCCCACACCCCAGGCCGCCAGGUGAGCCGGGAGCGAGCGGCCGGCGGCGGGGGACGCGGCGGACCGGGGCACAGCCGCCCGCCCCAGGGAGAAGGGGGCAGAGCCCCGCAACGAGCUCCUCCUCCCGCGUUCGGCAGCUCCGCCAGGAAUUUCAACUUUCUAAGCAGAAUGAACGUCGUGAGCAUCAGCACAGGUAAAGACCGAAUAAAAAUGAAUAUAAAAACCUUGCUGAAGAAAAAAAAAACCUUGCUGUUCUGGGCAGGUAAAGAAAAAAACAAAACAUUGUCUUUUCUUCUCUGUUCACAAUCUCUUAUCAAGAGUAGACUACCGAUGCAAGAAAACCUUGUCAUUUUAACAGAGAGGAGCCAACUCUCAAUGUGAUACCAGUGUACUUGUAAAACUCACUUCUCCCAAUCUCACUCCAUUCUGAUCAUGCAUACAAUUCCUUAUUAAAAAGUCUCCUUCAAAAAAAAAAAAAGUCUCCUUCAGGGAUGCCUGGGUGGCUCAGCGGUUGAGCAUCUGCCUUUGGCUCAGUGCGUGAUCCUGGGAUCAAGUCCCACAGCGGGCUUCCUGUGUGGAACCUGCUUC